GACGAACGCUGGCGGCGUGCCUAACACAUGCAAGUCGAGCGGGGUCCAUCCAGUGCUUGCACUGGGGAAGACCUAGCGGCGAACGGGUGAGUAUCACGUGAGGAACCUGCCCCGAAGUCUGGGAUAACCCGAGGAAACUCGAGCUAAUACCGGAUGCCCUCAGUUGAUCGCAUGGUCGACUGAGGAAAGAUUUAUCGCUUCGGGAGGGCCUCGCGGCCUAUCAGUUUGUUGGUGGGGUAACGGCCUACCAAGACAUCGACGGGUAGCUGGUCUGAGAGGACGAUCAGCCACACUGGGACUGAGACACGGCACAGACUCCUACGGGGGGCAGCAGUGGGGAAUAUUGCGCAAUGGGGGAAACCCUGACGCAGCAACGCCGCGUGCGGGAUGAAGGCCUUCGGGUUGUAAACCGCUUUCAGUAGGGAGGAACAAAAUGACGUGUACCUGAAGAAUAAGCAUCGGCUAACUCCGUGCCAGCCGCCGCCGUAAAAC
rnacentral:rRNA from 1 species